rnacentral:misc_RNA from 2 species
UCCUCCCUCCAAAACCCCUGCUUUACCGCGGGGGUUUCGGGUGUUGGACCGCGUUGGACCGUUCGCGGCCAACUGGUCUCAAAGACAAUGACGGGCGUCCAUGGGACCCUCUUCGCACUGAGCUUUCCGGAGCACGCGUCGAGUUGCAAGGUCUUGUGGGCCCGGCCACCUCUAAAUCUAUUUUUUCA